GACGAACGCUGGCGGCGUGCCUAAUACAUGCAAGUCGACCAUAGUGGCGAACGGGUGAGUAACCCGUGGGUAACCUGCGCAUCAAAAUGGGAUAACCCUUGGAAAUAGCUGAUAAUAUUGUAAACUGCUGGAUGGAUUAGCGGUGCAUUAGCUUGUUGGCGAGGUAACGGCUCACCAAGGCCACGAUGAAUAGCCGACCUGAGAGGGUGAUCGGCCACAUUGGGACUGAGACACGGCCCAGACUCCUACGGGAGGCAGCAGUAGGGAAUCUUCCGCAAUGGACGAAAGUCUGACCGAGCAACGCCGCGUGAGUGAAGAAGGUUUUCGGAUCGUAAAACUCUGUUAUUAGAGAAGCGGUAUCUAACCAGAAAGCCACGGCUAACUACGUGCCAGCAGCCGCGGUAAUAC
rnacentral:rRNA from 1 species